rnacentral:misc_RNA from 1 species
GGGGCGCACACACCUCUCGGUGCAUGGCAUCUCAGGGCCUCCCGUACACACCCACCCUGCCAAUGCCGGAACCGCUUGUGGCGGUGCCAGGCUCAAGUACCUAGCAUGUGCGGAGGGGUCACAGCGAUGUACCGCCGCUGGUAUGCCGGCGGUCAGGCACUGGAUGGCGCGGCAUCGCGGGCGACCCGCGACGGUGCACACGCUUGCGCAUCCGCAUGAUGGGCACAGCGCCAACCGAGCUCGAGCGUAUCCCACCCGGCCCUCACUGCCUGCUGAUGGGGAGCCUGCGUGCCACGCCGAGGAGGAUGCACCAGGUGGCGACCGGCAUGAGGGGAGCCGGCUGCGAGGCGGCCCGCGGAGCAGUGGCGCGCAGCGUGUGAGGCAGAGGCCGUGCUCUCAGCUGACUGGGACGGCGCACGGCUGCAACGCGUGUGCGAACGGCAUGCUUCGCACCAGGCGACGGGGCCCGCGGCAGACUGGCGGGUGGUGGUGGUGGUGUGGAGUGGUGUUUGACUCCUGUUGCGUGGCAGAGCUGGCGCGUUGCAGAAAACAACAAGGCUAUUCUUGACCGUUUGAGGAAUUUGAACGGAGGUGAAAAGCGGCGUUUGAUGCUGCGUGCCUCGCAGGACUGUCUUUGAGGCAGACCGCUGAUUUGCCAAACUGCGGAAAGGACAACGCGGCGCGUUUAGUGCCAGGAAAGAGGGAGACCCCGACGGCGGCGAUGGUGACAGACGCGUCGUUGCCUGGCCGAGAAUUUUUUUUUUGAAAGUGGCGAGGCUCGCGCAGAUGGCGGGCUGAAUGGGCUACGACGCCAGAGGUGCUGAUGUCGGCUGAAGCGCGGGCCGUAGAAUCAGGCUAUUCAGGCGUUUGCCGCAGACAUUCCAGCGCAUUGACAUAUGUGUGAGAAACACGUCCACUUUCGAAGUCCAUCCGGAAAGGCCUGCUGCGCUGUAUAACGGCGGCAAGGGGGGAUCGCACGUAUGAACAGUUUUGUUGGGUGUAUUCGCCACACAUAUCCCCCUCCCCCUCCCCUAUAUUCCAUUCAGAGCGUAUAGCAGCGGAUAAACCGUCUUGUGACUUUAUCAGUUACUCUGACUUGCGUAGCGCAGGGGUUCCAAACGCGAAGGUGCAACAGGGCCCACUUGAGUGACGGAAAAGAAAGAGAAGGGGGGGGGAGAAGGAUGCGCAAGUCUACCUAUUCGUGCGUAGUGUGUUGCCGGAUGAUGCCUUGAAAACAACAG